GGCCAAGGUUGAGCAAAGAAGAGAUUAAAACAGACCUGGGCUUUAGUAGAUAGCAGUUUGGAUCACCAAUUAUCGGAUUGGGCUUUAAACAGCUUAAUGGACCAGAGUUGAAUAAGCCCACCAAUUGGAAACCUAGGUUCCUUUUGGCUGGUAGGGGACAUCUUAGAUUGCGGCCACCGUCGUACGGACAUGGAGGAAGAUUAAACGGUGAGGCAAGCAUCUCCGAUGGGAGGUAGGGUCAGCUUCUGGUGGUUUAGCGUGACAGACGAGGUAUAGGAGGAGAACCAGAGGCGAAACGAUACCUCAGAUUUAGAGAUUGAAGGUUCUACCAAUGUUGAUUUUGGCCAAGAUGACCACAAAGCCAAGGGAAGUGGAUUGGCUCCAUAUCCAGCUUGAUUGACCUCUCCUCCUCCUCCUCGGUUAGCUGAUUUUGGCUAUUCUACUGAAAUAUUUCUGGGAGUUAAAUAAUCAAAUGACAAAAAAUUGCAGAGGACAUGGCUAUUGAUUUUAGAACUUUGAGAGUAGGAUAUUUUUCAGUAUGAGUUUGAUGUAAUGAUUUGUAGAUUGCAAUCAUGUGGUUAGUUUUUAACUUUUGGUUGCUCAAGCCUUUGUUAUAUCAAAGACACUCAUAAUUGAAGAUGA